rnacentral:rRNA from 1 species
GAAUAUUGGACAAUGGGCGCAAGCCUGAUCCAGCGACGCCGCGUGAGUGAUGAAGGCCUUCGGGUUGUAAAGCUCUGUUGAAGGGGAAGAAAAAAGGCCGUUCGAACAGGGCGGUCUCUUGACGGUACCCUUUCAGAAAGCACCGGCUCACUCCGUGCCACCCGCCGCGGUAAGACAGAGGGUGCGAACGUUGCUCGGAAUGCCUGGGCGUAAAGCGCGUGUAGGCGGAUCCGCAAGUCAGGUGUGAAAGCCCUGGGCUCAACCCAGGAACGGCACUUGAAACUGCGGGUCUUGAGUGGUGGAGAGGGAAGUGGAAUUCCUGGUGUAGAGGUGAAAUUCGUAGAUAUCAGGAGGAACACCGGUGGCGAAGGCGGCUUCCUGGACACUAACUGACGCUGAGACGCGAAAGCGUGGGGAGCAAACAGG